UACGUAGGGUGCGAGCGUUAAUCGGAAUUACUGGGCGUAAAGCGUGCGCAGGCGGUUCGUUGUGUCUGUGGUGAAAGCCCCGGGCUUAACCUGGGAAUGGCCAUGGAAACUGGUGAGCUGGAGUGUGGCAGAGGGGGGUGGAAUUCCGCGUGUAGCAGUGAAAUGCGUAGAGAUGCGGAGGAACACCGAUGGCGAAGGCAGCCCCCCUGGGCUAACACUGACGCUCAGGCACGAAAGCGUGGGGAGCAAACAGG
rnacentral:rRNA from 1 species